rnacentral:rRNA from 1 species
CAGCAGUGGGGGAAUAUUGCACAAUGGGCGCAAGCCUGAUGCAGCCAUGCCGCGUGUGUGAAGAAGGCCUUCGGGUUGUAAAGCACUUUCAGUCGUGAGGAAGGUAGUGUAGUUAAUAGCUGCAGUAUUUGACGUUAGCGACAGAAGAAGCACCGGCUAACUCCGUCGCCACGCAGCCGCGGUAACUACGGAGGGUGCCGAGCGUUAAUCGGAAUUACUGGGCGUAAAGCGCAUGCAGGUGGUUUGUUAAGUCAGAUGUGAAAGCCCGGGGCUCAACCUCGGAAUAGCAUUUGAAACUCGGCAGACUAGAGUACUCGUAGAGGGGGGUAGGAAUUUCCAGGUGUAGCGGUGAAAAUGCGUACGAGAUCUGAAGGAAUACCGGUGGCGAAGGCGGCCCCCUGGACAGAUACUGACACUCAGAUGCGAAAAGCGUGGGGAGCAAACAGGGAUUAGAUACCCUGGUAG